rnacentral:rRNA from 1 species
GAUGAACGCUGGCGGCGUGCCUAAUACAUGCAAGUCGAGCGAACGGACGAGAAGCUUGCUUUUCUGAUGUUAGCGGCGGACGGGUGAGUAACACGUGGAUAACCUACCUUUAAGACUGGGAUAACUUCGGGAAACCGGAGCUAAUACCGGAUAAUAUUUUGAACCGCAUGGUUCAAAAGUGAAAGACGGUCUUGCUGUCACUUAUAGAUGGAUCCGCGCUGCAUUAGCUAGUUGGUAAGGAAACGGCUUACCAAGGCAACGAUGCAUAGCCGACCUGAGAGGGUGAUCGGCCACACUGGAACUGAGACACGGUCCAGACUCCUACGGGAGGCAGCAGUAGGGAAUCUUCCGCAAUGGGCGAAGGCCUGACGGAGCAACGCCGCGUGAGUGAUGAAGGUCUUCGGAUCGUAAAACUCUGUUAUUAGGGAAGAACAUAUGUGUAAGUAACUGUGCACAUCUUGACGGUACCUAAUCAGAAAGCCACGGCUAACUACGUG